UAGGCACCUCCUAGGGGUAUACGGGUGGCUUCUCCAACCUUGAGCUCCCCUUCUCUCCCGGUGCCCCACGGUGGGCGUUUACGGCGUCCGUGAGGGGGGCAGUUGGCGAGACUGAGGGAGAGGAUUGUCCCCUUAGCCACACCGCAGUGACGUCAGACCGAGCCCACUGCUGGGGCCGGGCCUCGGCGAGAAGACCUCGCUCCCGCCCCUUGUGAAGAGGAACUUAACUUUGUGCCUGAUAGGAACGGACAUUCCCAGUCCGAGGGGUACAGGGCCCUGCCCUGGGAGGGUCUAAGUAAAGGAAGGAUAUGGCCCUGCCCUUGAGGAGUCGGAGGUGGGCGCGAUGUAGCCCUGCCUUAAUGGCUGGUGUUUCCCCGGCUCGGAUCACAGCCUACCCCUCGCGUCCGUAUCUUCUGCCUCUUUAGCGGUGAUUCGCGCAUACACGCCCCCUCUGGAAUCACCCGGACCACACUAACUGGCCUCGGGAGCCUGUCCACUGCGUCCCCCCGUGCAGCCGCUGGGUGUCGCUAGUGUCUAACUAGCGGCCCGUGCUCUUGGCCUCGCGCCGGGUGGGGGUGGGGGUGGGGGUGGAUCUUGGCUGUGAGCACGGCGGGGGGUCUUGACCCGUUGAAGUACUCUAGGACUGCUCGCAGCGCCCGCCCCCUUCCUCGUCCCGGGCGCUAAGGACUCCAUUACACUGAGCUUGGGCGACCCCAGCCACACAUUUUCAUACGUCCCUAUCCACGCUGUGACACCGGGAUGAAAGGCUUCGUUGCAGCCUAGGGCAAGGAUUAUCUCAGAUUAAAGGGCGCUGGGGGGACAGGGUGGACUGCAGGAGCUUCAACCGGGAGGCUCCUGGUGAAGGGAGCCUCUUCCAAACUCCCCCAGAGCGGGCGUUGGAGGGAGGGGGUGGAGCGACUGGAGUAAAGGUCUCUAAAAGGGUGCGGGUGUGGGGGAUUCCCCUGCCCACGGAAGGGGAGGGGCCAUUCGGACAAAAGCUCCCGCCUGCUGCCGCCCCUCCCCCUCGCGCUCCAUUCAAACCCGCGAGUAGGCGGGCGGGGGCGGGGGAGUCCCCCUCUCCUCCUCCUCCCCCUCCAGCCCCGGCAGUCCAGCAUCACAGCGGCAGUCAAGUCCCGGGCACGCGCGCGCAAGGACCCACACCUCGGCGGGUCUCACAAUCUCUCUCUCUCUCUCUCUCUCUCUCUCUCUCUCUCUCUCUCUCCUCUCUCGCGCGCACACACACACACACACACGCACCAGCAACAAACGGUCUGGACACCCCCGUCCCCUACCGCCCCUCAGGCCGGAGAGGGCGGGGCAUCCCCUGCCCAGCCCCCCUGCAAGCUCAUUUCACACAUAUUUCCCAAGAGCCUACUGUGUGCAGACAGCCUGUGACCAGGCUGUCAGGCUACAGCAACCAACAAGACCAGCUGGGUCCCUGCUCUGCUGACCCUGGACACUGGUGAGGGAGCAAGAUCAGUGUGUAAACAGAGAAAUAUCCACGGUGAUUUCAGACUGUGAAGACUAAAAUUUCACGAGGCAUAGAGAGUGACUGCAGGGAAGGAUGUUCAAGAUUAAAUGAGAUUUACGGAGGCGCUGGCCGGGGCCGACAUGGCCCCUGAAGCCCCCAAGGCGCGCUAGUCUGGCGGGAUGAAGAGGAGUCGCAGUGUCCUGUCGGUGGCCCGGACCGGUGACGAGAGGCCGCGAGAUACCCCCGAGCCCGGCCGAGCCAACAUGCUCGGGGCUGCCCUCCGACGCCCUCGCCGACGCCUCUCCAUGGGCCCAGGCCUGGGCUGGGCUGAGCCUGAGCCCUUGGACACUGGGGUCCCUCUGCCACCACGGCCCACCACGCUGCCACUGCUGAUCCCCCCGCGGAUUUCCAUCACCAAAGCUGACAGGUAGGCAGGAGGUGGACCAGGCUGGGAGGUGGGGUGGAGGAACAGGGCCACCUGGGCUAAGUCCAGCCACCAACCCUUUCCUGUGCUCUAGGCUCCUGGCUCCCUGUGUUUUGCAAAAGCAGCUGAAACUUCUCCUGGAGCCUGGUGGGUCAGGUUAUGACAUAACCCCGCCCCCGCAAGAGGCGCCUCUUGCAGCCUCUAGGAACCCCUUCUUCCAUUUUGCAGCUGCCUGAGUCAGCAAGGGGCAGGAUUUCGGAAAGGGUUUCAACCCUCCAGUCCCCAACGAUGCUCCCAUAAUCAGAGAGCUGGGACAGGCUAGGGAGUGAGCCUCCCACCAAUCCGCCGUGCACCUCUAUUUCCCUUUCUGAGAGGAUGCAGUUUCUUCAAGGCCUUAAAAGGAGAUGGUGGGACCCUGGAGGAGGUCUGGACUGGCAUCUUUCUUUCUCCUGAGCUCAGCUUCACACUGCACUUCCUUUGCUCUUUCUCAUCUGGGGCCCUCGGAGAGCACUUCAACCCCCAUCUUGGCCCAAGGAUGAAUUUGAAAGCCAGACAGCUGCCACUGUUCUCUGCAGCUUCUCUCAAUCUCCCCACCCACCCCUUUGUCUACUCAGUCGGAGGGCUCCAGGGUCUCUGCUUGGGUCAUGGUACAAUGGUUCAAUUCCAAAUGGGGGAGGAAGUGACUGUCAUUCCCCUCUCCAGUGGUCUAAUGUACCCCCCCCCAAAAAAAAGAAAGAAAAUUCCUCUAGCCUCUACCUAGUUCAGGCCACAGA